GGCAACCAGGUCUCCAGCAGGCUAAUGUCAAUGCGUAGCGCUAACGGUCUGCUGAUGUUGCCUCCCAAAACAGAGCAGUACGUGGAACUGCACAAGGGAGAGGUGGUGGACGUCAUGGUCAUUGGACGGCUAUGAUGCAGACUUCAAUGUCACUCGCUACUGAUUACCAUGGCAGUGCCAGGACUUCCUGUCUGGACAGGAAAUGGGCGGGGGCAGGAAGUGAUGCAUGUCUACCUGGUCGCCAUUAGCUGUGAUGUCAUAUGCAACAGCCAAUCGGAAGCCAGCGGAGGCUGAAACCUCAUUGGUCUGCUCUGAGGAGAUAUCUGUAUUUCAAUGGAGAAAAAAA